UACGUAGGGGGCAAGCGUUGUCCGGAUUUAUUGGGCGUAAAGAGCGUGUAGGCGGCCAUGCAGGUCCGUUGUGAAAACUCGAGGCUCAACCUCGAGACGCCGGUGGAAACCGCAUGGCUAGAGUCCGGAAGAGGAGAGUGGAAUUCCUGGUGUAGCGGUGAAAUGCGCAGAUAUCAGGAAGAACACCCGUGGCUAAGGCGGCUCUCUAGUACGGUACUGACGCUGAGACGCGAAAGCGUGGGGAGCGAACAGG
rnacentral:rRNA from 1 species